AGAAGAAGAAGAAGAAAAUGGAAGUGAAUGGAAAUAUUAGACCAAAUAGAAGUGAUGUUCAUUUAUCAAAAGAGGAAGAAACAAAGAUAGAAGAGGAAACAAGAGAGUAUUUUGAUGGCAUUGCACCAAAAAGACACACUAAACCUCAAAGAAGUGAUUAUUCUUCAACUUAUGUUGAUCACAUCAAUCUCUACCCUUCUUCUCAUGACACAAUUCCCGAAAAUCUCGAAUUCCAACGUCUCGAAAAUGAUCCUCAG
rnacentral:misc_RNA from 1 species